CAUUCAAGAGCACCACAUCUUUUUGGAUAAAACAAAACUUUCAAUUUUAAGGUAAACGGGUCUUUAGGGUUAUACGGGGGCCUUUUCCACAAUUGCCAUCAUUAUUUGCGGGUGAUUUUGGGAUAAUAACUCGAAUAUUUCUGGAUCACAUUUAAUUCAAUUUUUAAAUUUUAGAGAGAUGUUUGGGUUACAACAAUUUUCAUCAUUAAGUUUAAUAGAACAUUUGGGAGGAAAAAGAGCAAAAAAAUGAGCGAAAACCGAAAAAUGGGGGCAAAGUAUAGGACCCACACUAGCUGACCUAUUCCACUUGACUGUGCAUCAAUUUCGUAGAUUUGCACUUUGACCUACAAAAAAAUACGAAUUUUAGGCUUUUCGGGCAUUCUAAGAUGUACAUAUGACAAAAAUAAAAAGAUAUAAGAGAACCUUUUAGAAUAUUCAAGAAAACAACUCCAAAGACACCACUAAAGCCGACUCUGAAGCAAAUUUUCAUUAAGAUGGAAGAUUCCUAAUUGACCACUAAAGCCGACUCUAAAGCAGACUUUCAUUAAAAUGGAAGAUUCCUAAUUGAUUUCUUAGGAGAUUAUCAUGAGUUUCUUUAUUCCUUUCAAUUAUACUACCCUUUGGAUGUUUUUAUUUUUAAUCAUGAACUAAUUUUCUAAAUACCUAAGAGAGAUAAACCCUAUGAUAGAUUGUGACACCCCAAAGCUGACCUGGACAACCGACCCAAAUUCGAAACAUUACAUUAGCCAUCUAAGUGACUUUCUAGCUAACGACCAGCCAAGACACACCCUAACCUUAUUGUACAAGCCCAAUUUUGACCAAGACCAAACCAAAUAAAUUAACAGUCCAUAAGAGUCCAAAUUACAACUAGCCUGAUAUGGCCCAAAUAAAAAACAACAACCCAAGCCCAAACCCAACCCUCGUAGCCCAAAGCCCACAAACUAAAAAAUUUCAGCAGAAAAAAGAAAGUUGCUAACCCUACGCGCCAUGCCUGGGUCCUCUGCCACUGACCGCAUGCCUCUGCCACCGUAUCUCACAGCCUCUGCCACGCCUCUGCUGCCUACAAGAAACCAACAAAGCACAAAAUGACAACAGCAAUAGAGGUCAAAUCGAAAAACAACAAAAAAUAGAUUACGAAUCAUUUAGAUUGGCUAUAAAGGCCGAAAUAUUAACCUUGUAAUGCUUCUUCUUUUUUUUUGACGAACAUUAGAAAAAUAAAAAACAGAAAACAAGUUUAGAAGGUAGAUUUUUUUCAUUUUCAAAUUUGCAUUUCUUUUCCCUGUGUAUUUUCUUUUCUUCUAUUUUUUUUUACAUGCAACUAGUAAGAACAAAGAAAGAGAAAGAAAAACCUCGCCUGGAAUAGCCCCUCAAGUCCGGUCGUCGAAGGCCCUUUUCCUGUUGUCAAAAUCGAACCUAAAAAGGGGGCUAGGGUGCCCUCUCCUGGUCUUUUAGGGCAACAUCGGCCACCAGUCAGGUGGCACUACGGCGGCGCUCACGGCCAAAACCGUAGGCCGAGCGGGGUGGGGGUUUGAGAGAGGGAGCUCUCUGAAAUUUUUUUAAACAAAUGGGAUGAAACUGAUUUUCUUUGGGUUUUUUUUUAUUUCAUACUAAGUAUGAAAC
rnacentral:lncRNA from 1 species